CGCGAGCGCUUCCCUAUAAAUAGGCCCCACGGGGGGACGCGCGCCCCUCUCGGCUGCCGCCAUCUUGGUGCCUUCACCGGUCGCCACCUCCAUCCGCCACCAUCCUCCUCCAUCCGCCGCCCCCCGCCCGCCGGGACUGAGCGGGGCCCCGCCGAACCGCCAUGAGGGCCAAGUGGCGCAAGAAGCGAAUGCGCAGGCUGAAGCGCAAGAGGAGAAAGAUGAGGCAGAGGUCCAAGUAACCGGCUCCAGCAGGAACACGGCUCGGUGACGUCCCGUGCUGUCCCGGUGCCGCGGGGGUGUCCCGCCGUGCCGGAUCUGUUCUUUGCGGCGGCCGCCGUGCCGUGAAUAAAAGUUGGUUGUUGCUUAUA